rnacentral:tRNA from 1 species
CGGGAUGUAGUAUAGUGGUAGUAUAUAUGCUUUGGGAGCAUACGGUCCGGGUUCGAUUCCCGGCAUCCCGACCA